UUCGCAGUCGCCUGCCAGCGGCUGUCUGGCACGUUCAGGGCCUCUGCCUCCCGCUCGGCUUCCCAGGGCCAGGGCACAGUGAGGGCAGGUCCCCAGGCUGCUCCAGAUGGGGCAGAACGUCCCCACCCCCACCCUGCAGCAGAGGGAGGCUCCUGGGGUCACACCUGGGGUCACAGCUGUUUGUCCUGGAGCUCGGGUGUCAGAUCCCUGGGCCACCUCUGCCAUCGUCGCCUCUUCCUCCCACGACUGUCUCAGGAGACAACCUAGAGCUGCUGAGGCUGGGGGCUUCCUGUCCAGGGAUGCGGGGACCCCUGACAGCCAGGAGGACACGGGGCCCAGGAAUGUCACCGACAAACCGUG
rnacentral:lncRNA from 1 species